rnacentral:rRNA from 1 species
UGGGGAAUCUUGCACAAUGGGGGCAACCCUGAUGCAGCGACGCCGCGUGAGCGAUGAAGCCCUUCGGGGCGUAAAGCUCUUUCGACCGGAACGAUAAUGACGGUACCGGGAGAAUAAGCACCGGCUAACUUCGUGCCAGCAGCCGCGGUAAUACGAAGGGUGCAAGCGUUACUCGGAAUUACUGGGCGUAAAGCGUGCGUAGGUGGUUGUUUAAGUCUGAUGUGAAAGCCCUGGGCUCAACCUGGGAAUGGCAUUGGAAACUGGGCAGCUAGAGUGCGGUAGAGGGUAGUGGAAUUCCCGGUGUAGCAGUGAAAUGCGUAGAGAUCGGGAGGAACAUCUGUGGCGAAGGCGACUGCCUGGACCAGCACUGACACUGAGGCACGAAAGCGUGGGGAGCAAACA